rnacentral:rRNA from 1 species
AGAGUUUGAUCAUGGCUCAGAACGAACGCUGGCGGCAGGCCUAACACAUGCAAGUCGAACGAAGUCUUCGGACUUAGUGGCGGACGGGUGAGUAACACGUGGGAACCUACCUAUCGGUACGGAAUAACAGAGGGAAACUUCUGCUAAUACCGUAUACGCCCUUUGGGGGAAAGUUUUUCGCCGAUAGAUGGGCCCGCGUUCGAUUAGAUUGUUGGUGGGGUAACGGCCUACCAAGUCUACGAUCGAUAGCUGGUCUGAGAGGAUGAUCAGCCACACUGGGACUGAGACACGGCCCAGACUCCUACGGGAGGCAGCAGUGAGGAAUAUUGGACAAUGGGGGAAACCCUGAUCCAGCCAUGCCGCGUGCGCGAUGAAGGCCUUAGGGUUGUAAAGCGCUUUCACCCGUGAAGAUGAUGACGGUAGCGGGAGAAGAAGCCCCGGCUAACUCCGUGCCAGCAGCCGCGGUAAUACGGAGGGGGCAAGCGUUGUUCGGAAUUACUGGGCGUAAAGGGCGCGUAGGCGGCUGUAUUAGUUGGGGGUGAAAGGCCUGGGCUCAACCUAGGAACUGCCUUCAAAACUGUACAGCUAGAGACCGGGNAGAGGAUGGCGGAAUUCCCAGUGUAGAGGUGAAAUUCGUAGAUAUUGGGAAAGAACACAGUGGCGUA